rnacentral:rRNA from 1 species
GGACGAACGCUGGCGGCGUGCUUAACACAUGCAAGUCGAACGGAAAGGCCYYWGCUUGCWGGGGUACUCGAGUGGCGAACGGGUGAGUAACACGUGGGUGAUCUGCCUUGCACUCUGGGAUAAGCUUGGGAAACUGGGUCUAAUACCGGAUAGGAACCGUCUUUAGUGUGGUGGUUGGAAAGUUUUUUCGGUGCAAGAUGAGCUCGCGGCCUAUCAGCUUGUUGGUGGGGUAAUGGCCUACCAAGGCGUCGACGGGUAGCCGGCCUGAGAGGGUGUACGGCCACAUUGGGACUGAGAUACGGCCCAGACUCCUACGGGAGGCAGCAGUGGGGAAUAUUGCACAAUGGGCGGAAGCCUGAUGCAGCGACGCCGCGUGGGGGAUGACGGCCUUCGGGUUGUAAACUCCUUUCGACAGGGACGAAGCGCAAGUGACGGUACCUGUAUAAGAAGCACCGGCUAACUACGU